rnacentral:rRNA from 1 species
AUUGAACGCUGGCGGCAUGCCUUACACAUGCAAGUCGAACGGCAGCACGGGUGCUUGCACCUGGUGGCGAGUGGCGAACGGGUGAGUAAUACAUCGGAACAUGUCCUGUAGUGGGGGAUAGCCCGGCGAAAGCCGGAUUAAUACCGCAUACGAUCUACGGACGAAAGCGGGGGACCUUCGGGCCUCGCGCUAUAGGGUUGGCCGAUGGCUGAUUAGCCAGUUGGGGGGGUAAAGGCCUACAAAGGCGACGAUCAGUAGCUGGUCUGAGAGGACGACCAGCCACACUGGGACGGGGACACGGCCCAGACUCCUACGGGAGGCAGCAGUGGGGAAUUUUGGACAAUGGGCGAAAGCCUGAUCCAGCAAUGCCGCGUGUGUGAAGAAGGCCUUCGGGUUGUAAAGCACUUUUGUCCGGAAAGAAAUCCUUGGCUCUAAUACAGUCGGGGGAUGACGGUACCGGAAGAAUAAGCACCGGCUAACUACGUG